UUUAGCAGACAAAAGAAAAUCGAAGAAUUUGUUCUGAGAGUUAGUCCUCGGAGCACGUCGUACGCGUACACGAGUCGGAAACGAAGUGGCGCGGAAUCAACUCGCCUCGCGACAGCCGAGAACCUCUCCUCUCUGCUUCGGCCAAUCACAUCCCUCCUUUGUACAUAUCCCCUCCCCGCCUCCCGAUCCUCUCCUAGGGACGGUCCGCGGUCCAGCCACGUUCCUUCGUUCCGUUGUUUCUACGAGGACUCUGGUUGCUACCUCGACUUUUUUCGUCCUAAUUAUUAUCCUCCGCCACAUUCUUGCGGAAACAAACGAAGAAGUCAUUACAUACAAUCGAAUAUACGGCGAGUUUCAAGGUCUUAAUUAUCGAGCCCUAAUAUAAUAAAGUUCUUAUAGUACAUGGACUUAUACGAUAUUCAAAGUUUACAAAAAUUGUGGACCAGUAAAUAUGAGGCUACAGAAUAUAUGAUAAUUUUAUGAGAAUAUUUAUAGUGGUUACAAAAAGUAUUUGUACACCGUUGUAUUUAUUAUAGUAUUUAUUUACUAAUCAAUUAAGUCCAAAUAUAUUAAGUUUCUUAUCAUUUGGUAGUACUUUCAUGUAACGACUAAAACUUGAUACUAUGAAAAUGAAAUGUGGGAUUUAGUAAAAAAUGCUUCAUUGGAAAAUUCAGAUUCAAGGAUUUCCGAAGCAAGUAAAAAAGCAGCUAUAAAGCUGACUUGGCUUUAUAAUAAAAGAUAAUCAAAAUAGAAUUGAAAACAAAUUAAAAAGAAAGAUCAAGAUAUGGAAAAAACUGGAAAAAUUAUCAAAAGGGAAAAACUGGAAGAGUGGUAUAAAUAGAACAACUUUAAGAUAAUUACUAUUGACCUUAAAUCGCAAACAGUGACCUUGAAAAAGAGACCUCCUUGAACCAAAUACUAUUUCUGUAUUCUAGCACAAUCGUCUUAUUGCAUUACACGAGUUAUAACUGAAUUUGAUACUCUGGUUUCGUUCGUCAUAUAUUCAAGGAUAUAAAUAUAACACGUAUACAUGUAUUUGAAAGAACGAAGAAUAUAAGAAGACGUGUAAUUCAUUUCUAAGGGAAAUCAGGUAUAUCGUAGGCCAGGCAAUGAGAAAAUUGUCAUUUGAUUCGCAUACGUAAGAACGUCGCGCUACUUUAAAUACAAUACCAUUAUAACGACAUUAAUUCGCCGAUUUAACCGUCUCAAGAGGCAAGCGACUUUAUCGCGUGACUGGCACCGACUACAGCAAAUAUUUGUCGUCCAGUUUCUUCAGUCAGCGUCACACCUAUCAGAAAGACGGCCGUUUUUGCGAAGAGCAGUAAACGAAAAACAAAAUUGUAAAUCCUCCGUGAUCCAUAAAUACGUAGUACGAGAAUGGUGUGCGAUAUUCGACCGUUGACUAAGGGCAGUUCUCAAUGUCAAUGUCUCAGCAACGAUCGAGCACCACUGACUGCUUCGUAAUUUCGACACGUUCGCCGGGAGCAAAUCACCGGUGACCACCGUUGAUGGCCACCUUGCUUGUUUGUUGCAUAAUAUUGGCCGACGAUUCUGCUACGCCAGAUAUACAUACAUACUUGCUUUCUGUGGAAAUGUUCGCUCGUGCCAAGAUUAUCUGCUGGCAUCUCAAGCAUGGAAAACAUCCCUGCCAGACCGCUUCCUUAUCGAUCUUUUGCCGCGCUUUUAUCGUUUUCGCUGAAUCAAUGCCAUUCGAUGGUUUACGUAGUUCCUCAUUUCGAAAAUAGUAAAACUGUCGUAUUUAAUGUAUGACGAGGACUUUAUUGCUGAUUUGAUCUAUCUCUUUGGUUUUAAUUUUCAUCUGUAGGUGGAGGGGGUUUUAGUAAAGUAACGCUGAUGUGCUAAUGAUGAGAAAACAAGUAAUUUUAGACUCUACUUACUUCUUUACACGUAGAUCUUUUGUAUAUUUUGCAUGUUUCGAAAACUUCGUGUAUUUUCUUUUUUUAUCUGAAUAUCUGAUAUUUACACAACUUAUCGAUGAAGCAAUUGAAUUUGAAACCGAAAAUUUUAACGAAGCAAAGUCUUACAAGUGAACGUGACGAUCGGCACGUAAAACUUUUUACGCUACUAAAACAAUAAAGUAGUUGUGUAUGAUAAAUAUGAGUAAUAAAUUCUGUUAAUGCAGUUUUAUCAGUUAUGUAAUUUAACGGACGUAAUUCCAAUGGAAAAUUUUUUCGUAUUUCUUUCAUGGAAAUCAUUAAUUUUACUUACAUUGAAAAAAUUAUAAAGAUUAUGUAAAGAACUUUUAGAAUAUAAGAACUAUCGAGAUCGACAAGCUAUUCCCAAAAUUUUUAAAAAUUUUAAUGCGUAUAUAUAUUUCUUUAUUCUUCUUUUUUUUUUUAAAUAGCUUUCCUUGAUUGUUAGGAAAGUGUGAUAAGAUUCUUUACUGUGAAAUCUGUCCGCGGCAACCCGGUGAACUCAUUCAGAUCAAUUGAUGAGGCCGAGUUGAUAUGCUGCCAAUGAAAUUAGCCAGGAGGACAAUUAAGCGCAUCGUUGAACAAAUCCUAGACAAACUUGUCGCCGUUGAUGGACACAAACUGUUGCCUAUAACUAAAGUAAAUUCUACUUGGCUCCAUAUCUUUCAUCGGCUUUCUUCUACAUUAAACAACGUAUCAAUAACAUGAUGAUUUUAAUUCUACUGUUACAAUACAAUUAUUGGAAAAUUAUCGAACAUAUAUUGAUUGAAAAUUUUAUGAGAAUAGAAAUCCAUAUUAAAGAAGAAAUAUGAAUCAUUAAAGUCAAAAUUAUUGAAGAAAAAUUCAUUAAAAAAGUAUCCAUGUUUCAGCUCAAGUCCACCACAGCAUGAAUAGAAGACCGAUGUUGAGGAGGAAGAUACAAUCUUAUUCUCCAAUUAACUACAGAUUGUCAUCUACACCCCGUUGUUCAACACUGCAAUGAUAUUGUCAUCAAAGACUCAAUUGAAUCGUUUAAAGGAACACCUUACCAAUAAUACCCUGAUGAAAAAUUGCGAGUAAUCAGCUGCAUAUGAUUCAUUAUUUUAAGAAACUGCUAUCUCUUAUGCAAACUGCAAUUAUCUAGCGGUUCAGCAAGGCUUAAAUUUAGAGAGGAAUUUCGCUAAGUCGGCGAGACGUAAAGGCUGGAGGGCCCUGCCGGUGCUGGGACCGAAAUACACGACGAUUAUACCGGCGACUCCUCGAAUUGUUUCUCUGCAUGUGGCUUUUUUCCCCUCACCGUUACAGAUACGCCUCUGCAAAUGUAAAUCUUCGUGGCUGUGGUACAGUCAGGCAUACAAUUCCAUCGUAAAGAUUCUCUGUAGUCUUAACGACAUCAUCUUUCGAGAGCUGCUUUCUGGUUGUGGUUUCCUCUGUGUAUUAUGUUAAAUUAACAGGAUAAUCACGUGUAACACGGAUACAUAUAUCAUAGAUAAAUAAUUAUAAAUAAUAUAGGUAAUUUCGAUUAAUUUUAAUUAAUACGAAGAUUCUAUUCAUAGCAUAAAUAAUAUGAAAAGUAGAAUAGUUACUGUUAAAGUGACUUUAGUUGAAUUAUUUUAAUUUUUGUAAUAGAGAAAUUCUUUCUUAGAUUAUAUACAUAUAAUAAAUGGAAUUAAUCAGUGAAAAUAUAAGUACAUUAAGUCCAUUGUUACUCAACAAUAAUUUUGACAUUAUGGAUAUUAUAAGUAAUUCACAGAUAUUUCUGUUUUGGACUUUAGAAACACAGGCAUUUGUCUAAUUCUGAUUGAUUUAUUAUAUGUUUUCUGAGAAUCUGUGAAAUUUCAAGCAUGGUAAGCAAACAAUAGAGUGAAAUCCAGUGGAUCAAUAAUUAUUUCAAAAUCAAUAUAUUAUUACAAUAAAUAAUAUGUAAAUUCUUCAUCUAAGAGUUGUAGGUAAGAAUUAUAAGUAAAUGAUGGAUAACACUAACUAAGCUAUUUACGUAGGAAUGGAACCAUCCCCAUAUAUAAUCUUUAACAUUUUAUACAUUUUUCAAUUACGUUAUCAAGAUGUAUAAUGAGUGUUCAACUUCUCAAAAAAUAAGUUGCUUAUCACAAAUCCAUUUAUGGCAAGAUGAUAUAAAUGAUUAUAAAUUUCAAGAGUUGAUUAGUAUGAAUUUUGAAUUUCCAUAUUGAAGAAUCGAGAUUAUCAAAAAGCCCCAUAAACGAUGUAAGAGAAGCGAAGGAUGGAACGGAUGGUCGCUGUAUUUUAGUAGUAAGCUGGCUGCAAUAGUUUAAGGCUUAAGGCAAGUCAUUUAUGUCGCAAGGGAUCUCGCGUCUUAAGACAUCGCUCCCUCGCUGUAUAGUGACACGAGUGGCCGUGAAAUCGGCUACGUCGGCCAUUCUAAAAUCGUGCCAGAAUUUCUUGCCAAAUUUAAUUGGAGCUCCGUCCUGUUUACCUGUGCGAACCUACGAUCUUGAGCGUUUAUCCAUCUUUUCAUCUCUCUCUCUCUCUCUUUUUUCUUUUCAUACCUUUGCUGGCAAAUUUUCGAUACGAGACAAUCAGACGAAACAAUGACUCCUUGACGACAUGCCAAGGAACCUGAUACUGCAAGGCUUAGCUCAGUUAUUUAGUUAUUUCUGCGAUUAACAUUUUGUUACACAAUUGCAACGUUCUCGAGAAUCGUAAAAUUAAUCGUUUUAUUGUUUUGUUUGAAGAUCGACAAGCCAUGACGAAUCGCUGGAGAAGAGCAACGGAAUAUUUUCAUUUAUCUGACAAGAUGUGACAGACAUGAUUUGGAGCCAUUUUAUAUCUACCUUUUCAGAUCGUUAACGCUAUAGAUUGUAAGGGACCUGCGUAUCUUUACCGGUGCCGGAUCGAUGCUUGUUAAUUUUCACAGAUGUGGCCCACACCUGUGAAUUUUGGUCGCUUAUCGCUCCAUUUUUUAUCGCUUGAUAAGCUUCAAAUUUGGGCAAACGUUUCCUGUCUCGUGAUAAAUGUUCGAGUAUUUUUUUUUUUUUUUUUUAUCGCGUUAUUUUGGAACUGUUGAAAAAAUUUGUGAAAGUAUAGAACAAGGUGUUUAUAGAUGAAGAUAUAAUGAUAGAAACAUAAUUUCUGAGAAUGAAAAUAAUUUUAUAUGAAUAAAUAUCCGCUUGUUAAGUUAUUUCUUGGGAAGUAUUGGCAAUAUCAUCUUUCUCAUUUUAUUAUAAAACUCCAUAACUACUUUUAACCGUUUUAUGGAAAGACGUAGGCACUUCCAGCUUUAUUUUCAAUUUUGUCUUAUCAGAGAUCAAACAGAGAGAAAUAAGAAAACUAACGCUCAUUGAUAUUUUUAUUAAAACACAGCUAAUUCUAAAUUCUUUUGUAAUAAAGUGAGUCU